GAUGAACGCUGGCGGCGUGCCUAAUACAUGCAAGUAGAACGCUGAAGCUUGGUGCUUGCACCGAGCGGAUGAGUUGCGAACGGGUGAGUAACGCGUAGGUAACCUGCCUCUUAGCGGGGGAUAACUAUUGGAAACGAUAGCUAAUACCGCAUAAAAGUCGACAUCGCAUGAUGUUGACUUGAAAGGUGCAAUUGCAUCACUAAGAGAUGGACCUGCGUUGUAUUAGCUAGUUGGUGAGGUAACGGCUCACCAAGGCGACGAUACAUAGCCGACCUGAGAGGGUGAUCGGCCACACUGGGACUGAGACACGGCCCAGACUCCUACGGGAGGCAGCAGUAGGGAAUCUUCGGCAAUGGGGGCAACCCUGACCGAGCAACGCCGCGUGAGUGAAGAAGGUUUUCGGAUCGUAAAGCUCUGUUGUAAGAGAAGAACGAGUGUGAGAGUGGAAAGUUCACACUGUGACGGUAACUUACCAGAAAGGGACGGCUAACUACGUGCCAGCAGCCGCGGUAAUACGUAGGUCCCGAGCGUUAUCCGGAUUUAUUGGGCGUAAAGCGAGCGCAGGCGGUUAGAUAAGUCUGAAGUUAAAGGCUGUGGCUUAACCAUAGUACGCUUUGGAAACUGUUUAACUUGAGUGCAGAAGGGGAGAGUGGAAUUCCAUGUGUAGCGGUGAAAUGCGUAGAUAUAUGGAGGAACACCGGUGGCGAAAGCGGCUCUCUGGUCUGUAACUGACGCUGAGG
rnacentral:rRNA from 1 species